GAUCACAGGUGUGAGCCACCGCGCCCGGCCUUAAGUUUGUUUUCAAAGUGCGUUUCAAACUUAAAUAAACCCAGGCUCAGCAAUGAAAGGAUUCAGGUUAUUACAUUCUGAUUGUCCAGGGAGCAGGCAGUGCGGCUGGCUCCCCGGGAGAAUGCUGGAUCGUUCAUUCAGCGAGUGCGCAUGCCUAGAAGACGAUCUGCCAGCUGCACAGACACGCUGCCACUUGCUGUGCGUUCAUCUCCGUCAGCGCAUAGAGACCGGGAGCCACCUCCUGACUGAGGCACCAGACUCUCUCCGACCUUUCAAGAUGACCUGCUAAAAUACCAUCUUGAGGAUUUUCUACUGAGAUUCCAUAGAACCUUUCUAUUUCAGUUCCCCCAGGCUCUACUGGGAGUAUUAUGAUCAUCCUUGAUGAAAGGAAGGGCAGCAUUUUAAUUCCUUCCUUCCUUCAACAAAACAUGAUUGGGCACCUACUGCAUGCCAGGAACUGUGCUCCACAGUGCCUGUCUCAGGGCAAUCCCUUUCUAGUAGGGGAGCUCAUCAAAUACUAAUACGUAGAAAAAUUAACUGAUUUGUAAACCAAUGCAGGAUAGAAUAGAAUAGUUGAUGUAUUUAUUUAAUUACAGUUAACAAAAUAAUAGUAUUUAUUAAUACAUGGCAACUCUUAUGUAGUACUUAUUACAUGCUGGGUGGUGUCCUCAGCAGUUAAUAUAUUAAUUCAUUUUAUGCUUUCCUAUUUUGCAAAUGAGGGAACUAGGAAACCAAAAGGUUAAGAGCAUAUAUAUAUAUACUUUUUUUUUUAGACGAAGUCUCACUCUGUCACUCAGGCUGGAGUACAGUGGUGUGACCUCAGCUCACUGCAACCUCCGCCUCCAAGGUUCAAGUGAUUCUCCUGCCUCAACCUCCUGAGUAGCUGGGAUUACAGGUGCCUGCCACCAUUCCUGGCUAAUUUUUGUAUUUUUAGUAGAGAUGGGGUUUCACCAUCUUGGCCAGGCUGGUCUUGAACUCCUGACCUCAAGUGAUCUGCCUGCCUCGGCCUCCAGAAGUACUGGGAUUACAGGCAUGAGCCACCAUGCCUGGCCAGGUUAAGUAUAUUUUAAAAGUCCCACAGCUGGUGAAGUGCCCGGUGAAUAUGAAGGUCAGCCAUUCGGAUUUGAGAGUCCCCCUGGUAACCACACAGCACUUCUGUGCAUGCUCUUUACCGAUCUCCCAUAAAAGGUGGACGAGACAAUGCAGAGAACUGACAGAUUCCACAAAGGAACAAAAGGUUUAGUGGUGUUUAUGCCUCAAUUUGAAAGUGGAAUUUCAAAGUCCACUGAAAGUCUUUCUCUGAAGAGUGAAUUGUCUUUAUCCCUUAGCGUCUCUCCUGAAAGCUCUUAUUUGGACAAGCCUGGCCUGGCUAGAUGGAUGGGAGACCACGUGGAGAAGGGCCCAGCUGUCUCAGCUAAAGCCAUCAUAGACCAACAUACAGCCAGCCUACUUCCUAACACAUGAGAGAGCCCUGUCUGGAUUAGCAGAAACACCUACUCAACACAAAGCUGAUUACAGAAGCACGAGUGACCUCAACUUGGAAGAGAAGAACCCCU
rnacentral:lncRNA from 10 species